UUUUCUACUUUUAAGCGUACUAAUUGCAAUAUCUUCGGCUAAAAUUUUAAGCAAGAUAUAAACAAUUUAACAAGCUUCAAUUCAACAAAUGCUUGAUGAUCACUUAAGAAGGAAUUGAAGCUAUGAGGCGAACAGAAUAAAGUGCAAAUCGGAGUGGCUAUAAGUUUGCGUGUCAAAGGAUGUUUAGACGAUCACAGUCCGUAAUCAGCAGCGAUAAAGGAGAAGACACAAUAUACUCAGAUGGAUAGACACAUUGGCUUUUCACUUCGUGUAUUAACAAAACAAAUCAAAAAUCACCAUACACAUCAUAUCGAUCUCACCCGCAUAAAUCAGCAAUAACGUACUCUUACAUCUAAGAAAUUGUACCUAAACGACUUAGCUCUUCUAAUGGAACUGCUUUUUCCAACAAAAUACAUCCCAAAAUGCAAAUACCCUGUCCAAUAAAAAAGUGUUCCAUACAAGGACUUAAGUUUGAUGGGUCAGUUUGUACGGCAGCGGUCCGAUCUGACAAAUUGUUUGGAGAUUUCAAUGUUGGACAAUAAUUUGGUGCCAAACUUCAAUAAAGAUAUCUUAUCAAAUAAAAAAAAGGCCAUACAAAGAGACAGCUAUAUGCUAUAGUGGUCCUACAUCGGCGGUUACGACAAAUGAGCAGCUUCUUGAGGUGAAAAGAAUGUGAGCAAAAUUCCAGACCGAUAUUUUAAAAUCAGCAGACGGGCAUGACUAAAUCUGCUCAUUUGUUUUAUUUAUACUAAUAAAAGUAGCCAAAUGGUAA